GGUGAGAUGGCCGAGUGGUUAUGGCGCUGCGUUCAGGUUUAGCUGAAUUGUCUAUCAAGAUAUAAAAAUCUCGCAGUGGAGCAAUCCGCGUGGGUUCGAGUCCCACUCUCAUCA